rnacentral:rRNA from 1 species
UACAUGCCUCGAAGUCGCGACCUCACGGGAGCGAUGCAGUUAUUAGAUCAAAACCAACCGGGCUUCGGUCCGCUGGCUUGAUGACUCUGGAUAACUUUCUGCAGAUCGCACGGCCUUUGCGCUGGCGAUAGAUCUUUCAAAUGUCUGCCCUAUCAACUUAAGAUGGUAGGUAACCCGCCUACCAUGGUUAUAACGGGUAACGGGGAAUCAGGGUUCGAUUCCGGAGAGGGAGCCUGAGAAAUAGCUACCACAUCCAAGGAAGGCAGCAGGCGCGCAAAUUACCCACUCCCGGCACGGGGAGGUAGUGACGAAAAAUAACGAUAUAGAACUCUUUCGAGGCUCUAUAAUUGGAAUGAGCACACUUUAAAUCCUUUAGCGAGGAUCAAUUGGAGGGCAAGUCUGGUGCCAGCAGCCGCGGUAAUUCCAGCUCCAAUAGCGUAUAUUAAAGUUGUUGCAGUUAAAAAGCUCGUAGUUGGAUCUGAGGAGUAGAACGGAUUGUUCGCCUCUGGUGUUACGAUCUGUUCGGCCUACACAGCUGUGGAUAUCAUUGGUGUUCUUAAUUGAAUGCCUUUGAUGCCCGGCAAUUUUACUUUGAAAAAAUUAGAGUGCUUAAAGCAGGCAUUUCGCUUGUAUAUUGUUGCAUGGAAUAAUGGAAUAGGACUUCGGUUCUAUUUUGUUGGUUUUCGGAAUUGAAGUAAUGAUUAACAGAGACAGCCGGGGGCAUUUGUAUGGUGGCGUUAGAGGUGAAAUUCUUGGAUCGCCGCCAGACAACCUACUGCGAAAGCAUUUGCCAAGAAUGUUUUCACUAAUCAAGAACGAAAGUCAGAGGUUCGAAGACGAUCAGAUACCGUCCUAGUUCUGACCAUAAAUGAUGCCAACUGGCGAUCCGUGAAGUUUGCUUGGUCGAACACACGGGCAGCCUCCGGGAAACCUAAGUCUUUUGGUUCCGGGGGAAGUAUGGUUGCAAGGCUGAAACUUAAAGGAAUUGACGGAAGGGCACCACCAGGAGUGGAGCCUGCGGCUUAAUUUGACUCAACACGGGAAAACUCACCCGGCCCGGACACUGCGAGGAUUGACAGAUUAAAAGCUCUUUCUAGAUUCAGUGGAUGGUGGUGCAUGGCCGUUCUUAGUUGGUGGAGUGAUUUGUCUGGUUAAUUCCGAUAACGAGCGAGACUCUAUCCUGCUAAAUAGUUUGAGGAUAGUACGACCUCAUAACUUCUUAGAGGGACAAAAAUCUCCUAGAUAUAUGAGAGAGAGCAAUAACAGGUCUGUGAUGCCCUUAGAUGUUCGGGGCCGCACGCGCGCUACACUGACGCCUUCAACGAGUUUGCACCUGGACUGAAAAGUUUGGGUAACCUGAUUGAAUGGGCGUCGUGACAGGGAUCGGGGCUUGCAAUUCUUCCCCGUGAACGAGGAAUUCCCAGUAAGCGCAAGUCAUAAGCUUGCGUUGAUUACGUCCCUGCCCUUUGUACACACCGCCCGUCGCUACUACCGAUUGAAUGGUUUAGU